GUUUUAAUGUGAAAAUCAGACAUAUGCAUUCAGGCAUGUAAAAUGUUUGAUAUUACAACUCGCCAAGUAACAAUGAACAAAAAAGAAAAAGUUUAUACAAUUUGAACAAGGAUGCAUUUUGUUUGAUGUAACAAUAAUUUUCAUAAUUCUGACAAUUUUGCAGACAAAUACUACAUCAAACCUCACUCUGCCACUAAAUGGAGUAAGGGUUAAGUUGCUACUUAAAGUGUCAUUCUAACAAUCAUUUACUACACUUCUCCCCCAGAAGGAGUAAGAAGUGUUAUUACUGACAUUUGCGUUCUAGCAAUGAUUUACAGAAGCACUAUCUCAAAUCAGGAAGCUGGCAAUAAUUUGUGCACAUUUAAUUAAUACAGGUUAUGUACAUAACAUAAGUGUUAGGGAUUAUUCCAUUAGAUUAAGAUAUAUAAACAUUUAGUUUUAUAGAUGUUUCAUGUACACUUCUUUUAUUAUCAAUAGAUUAUAAAUGUCAUGAAUUUGUUCAAAUAAACAGCAUGAUCCAUGAAAGAAAUUGGCUAAUUCUUGUUAGCAUAUGUCCACGUACCAGGUACAUGUAGUCUGAUGUUUUAAAACCUAAGAAACUUGACAGUAAAAAACUAAGAUAAAAUAAAAUAAAUAAAAGUUUUCUAUACAGUGUGUAGUGUUUUCAAUCACUAUUUGUUCAUUUAUUUAUUUAUACAUAUAUUCUCAGGAAAUGCCCAUUUGAAAAAUUAGUAAAAAUAUAACAACUUUUUCCUACAAAUAGUUUUUGUCCUUUAAGGGGUUUUCAGGCAUUUAUCGUAUCCUAAGAUGCUGUCUGUUACUAAUCUCUUCCCCCGCCACCUCUUUUUUUAAUAACUUAAGAGCCAUCUUUGCUGUGUGCCCUUUCUUUCAAGGAAAUAUUAGUGUUAUUAACAUUAGAACUUUUAACCAUGUAAAUGAUGUCUACAUAAAGAGUACUACAGCAUGCAAUGUAAAAUGUUAACCAUAAACAAAUUAAAUUAUUGUUAUAAUAAUAUGUUACAUAUAUAAUGUAUCUCUCAAAAUAUUGCACAUUCAUUGUUACAUAAAAAAUAAUCAUAUAGAAUCCAUUUAAAUUAUUCUAAUUGGAAAUUUAUAACUGUUGAAAGUCAGUAACAUUG
rnacentral:lncRNA from 1 species